rnacentral:rRNA from 1 species
GCAUGAAGUCGGAAUUGCUAGUAAUCGCAGAUCAGCAUGCUGCGGUGAAUACGUUCCCGGGCCUUGUACACACCGCCCGUCACACCAUGGGAGUCGGUAACACCCGAAGCCUGUAGUCUAACCGCAAGGAGGACGCAGUCGAAGGUGGGAUUGAUGACUGGGGUGAAGUCGUAACAAGGUAUC